UCCAUACGUCAUAAUUUCGUUUGGUUCUUGAAUUUUCUUUUUUUUUCAGAACCUAUAGUCUGUUAGGGUCCGAAAAAAAAAAAAAAUAUAGAAUUUCCGAAAAUUUUCUUGCAACAUCUUGUUCCUACAGUUUCACUGGCAUCGUAUAGAGCCUUUUGGGGCAGUUUCUGCGUACAUUUUUUUCGGUUUUUGAUUAUUUCUCGUUGUGUUUUCUGGAGUCCUUGGGUAGUAUAGAGCGUUUUGAGCCUAUUUCUGCGCAGUACUUUUUGGGUUGUUCAGUCUGCGUUUCUGGUUGUUUUCGAUUUCGUUUGGGGGUUUACCACCUUUUAGUGUCCGUUUAAGUGUUGUUGGUGUGGUCUCUUUGGGACGUUUCAUUGAGUGCUCUCGUUGAGACAGUUUGGGCAAUCUCGUUGGUACAGUUGGUUUUUGAGUUCCGU
rnacentral:lncRNA from 1 species